rnacentral:tRNA from 3 species
GCCGGAGUAGCUCAGUUGGCCAGAGCAGCCGCCUUGUAAGCGGCAGGUCGUCGGUUCGAGUCCGACCUUCGGCUCCA